UACGUAGGGGGCAAGCGUUGUCCGGAAUUAUUGGGCGUAAAGCGCGCGCAGGCGGUUGUUUAAGUCUGGUGUAUAACCUUAAGGCUCAACCUUGAGACGCAUUGGAAACUGGAGAACUGGAGUGUAGGAGAGGAAAGUGGAAUUCCACGUGUAGCGGUGAAAUGCGUAGAUAUGUGGAGGAACACCAGUGGCGAAGGCGACUUUCUGGCCUAUAACUGACGCUGAGGCGCGAAAGCGUGGGGAGCAAACAGG
rnacentral:rRNA from 1 species